rnacentral:ribozyme from 1 species
GGUUGAGAACGCACUUUGUUCGAGAUCGGCGGGAAGACGAAGAAGACCUGACCGUCACAGAUCUGGUGCCCAAUAGUACUUAUGAUACCAUUUGCUACGCCAGUCUUCUCUGGUUCUCUUUUUGUGACCAGUCCCCACAAGAGCAAUGUCCCUCCACGCAUAAGAUGGGA